GAUUCUUGGUGUUUCUGAAGUAUCAGAUGCACUAUGAAUAUCCUCCUGCAACGUAUCUCGAAUACCCUAUCCUUAUUGCACAAGAUGUAAUUCUCAUGUUGUGCAUUUUCCACUAUAAUGGAACAUUAAAGAAAGCACCACUUUAUUUGGGCAUCUUUGUUGUUGGAUGGUACCUUAUAACAUUCCGCAAAUGGAUUAUAAAUGUAGCUAUG